CGCGUAGGCGGGGAUUUAAGUCAGGAGUGAAAACUGCCGGCUCAACUGGCAGCCUGCUCUUGAAACUGGAUUUCUUGAGGGUAUGAGAGGAAAGCGGAAUUCCCAGUGUAGCGGUGAAAUGCGUAGAUAUUGGGAGGAACACCAGUGGCGAAGGCGGCUUUCUGGCAUACAACUGACGCUGAUGCGCGAAAGCGUGGGGAGCAAACGGGAUUAGAUACCCCGGUAGUCCACGCCGUAAACGAUGGGCACUAGGUGUAGGAGGUAUCGACCCCUUCUGUGCCGUAGUUAACACAAUAAGUGCCCCGCCUGGGGAGUACGGCCGCAAGGUUGAA
rnacentral:rRNA from 1 species